CAAUAGGCCCUUUUUAGGGCCCACAAAUGUGUACUUAAGAGUUAUUU
rfam:Aedes aegypti strain Liverpool supercont1.96 genomic scaffold, whole genome shotgun sequence.